AAUUUGAAUUGGUGCAUAUAGGUGGAAUAUAUUGUAUAUAUUGAAGGAAAAGAUAUUUAAGAUAUUAGAGAAAAUUGAUAAAUUAAAUAAAAUAUCUUUUUGUUUUUAUCUGGAUGCAUAUCAUAAUGCAAAACAAUAUAAAUAUCUAUGCUUUAUUUUGGUAUGAUAAUACAUCUCAAAAAAAUUAAAACCAGUUGCUAAUGUAAUUAAGAUGGACACAAAGAUCAUUGGUAGAAAAGUCGAAAUAUGGUAGUGACGGUGAUAGGCCAAUUUAUUGGGCUUUACGGCUUGGGCGUUUACUAUAAUAUUUAAUGAAGAAUAAAUUGGGAUUUUUCAAAUAUCCGUAGGAUAAAAUUGUGACUUUUCAAAAUACAUCUUCUUACUACCAAUAAAAAAAUAAUAAAGAUUCUUGACUUUGACCCGAUCUCAGGUGACAUUGGACCGACAUCCAAUCAGAGAGGUAAUUGUUGCAAUCGGUUGGAUUGAGUCGAUGGAAAAUAUUUUAGAUGUAUUGAAUCAGCUUAUUAUAAUUUAGACUCGAAACCCAAAAUAUCUGAGUCAAGUUUGCAUUUGAGAUUAUAUUUAUUUACUAAAAAAAAUAUUUUUAUUGUUAAAUAAAAUUGAAUUUUUAUUAUUAUAAAAUUAUCCGUUAAUAUGAUCAAAAUUUCAUAAGUUAAUAUUUAUUUAAAAUUAUAAUUUACUGUAAAAAUUUAUGAAGUCCACAUCCGAUUUGAAUUAUAAAAUAGAUCUAAUAUUUAACUAAAACAAAUUUGGUAAAGUCUACUUGAAUUGGGUCAAAUCAGCUUAUUGAUCAACCGGAUCCAUUUAUAGUUUAGAAAAAAAAGUUGGUUGAAAGCGCUAAGUAAAAUAUUUCAAGGAUGAUUAUUUUUAGAAAGGAUUUGGAGACCCGUUCUAUCUACAAUAUAACUAAUUUAGGGGCAUAGCAUGUCAAGUUGUCACCUUAGAACUGCAAAAUUGAAAAGAAUCUUUUUUUUAAUAAUAGAAUAUCGAUCUAGUCAGGAUCGUUCGGUAGCAUGAACUGAAUCUUUCUGGAUCGGUGAAAACAAAAUCUUAUGACAAAUAAAUUGCAGUUAGCAAGCAAAUUGUUUUUGUUUGAAGCAAAAUAAUAAGCUAAUUGUUUUUGUUUGAAGCAAAAUAAUAAGCUAACAGUAACAUUUAGCACGUACAUAUCAAUUAGCAAAUUAAUAAAAAGAACACUGACUUUCGUACAAACAUAUAUAGUCUAUCAGCAAAUUAUUCAGAAAGGAAAAGGCAAAAAGUAUUAAAAAAAAUUCUAUAAAGAAAAAAAGGAAAAACAUUCAGCUGAGACCCAUUUGCAAUCAACGAAUCGCACCACCUGAUUCGACCCGGAGGAUGCCUUUAUUUUGGCGCGAACGUCUCAUUGUCCUGAUGGAUGCGUUCGGGAAUUCUUCGUCGACGAUAAAGUGGUCCGGGUGGAGAACAUCUUCUUAGAAUUCCUUAAGAGAUUCAAGCGAUGAUGGUCCAAGGAAUCCACCAUGUGAUUCGAGGCCUAUCUAUGACAUGCUUGGAAGACGUUCGUGAUGGACACAAAUAGAGCGAGAAUAGGCUGCCUUCAUCUCCGAUGACAGCCAUAAUAAAGACAUAAGUGUCGCCUUCUAUAAUAUCCCAUUGUUGAAGAGGUAUUGCCGGGGUCUUUGAUUUUCUGUGCCUUUCGAAAGUUCCCCCUAUUUUCCUUCCAUUUACUGGAAAUUGCUUCUUUUACUA